GCUUUUGUGGUGUAAUGGUAGCACACUCGACGCAUAUUCGAGAGGUCCAGGUUCGAGUCCCGGCGAGGACA
rnacentral:tRNA from 1 species